UACGUAGGGUGCAAGCGUUGUCCGGAAUUAUUGGGCGUAAAGAGCUCGUAGGCGGUCUGUUGCGUCGGCUGUGAAAACCCGGGGCUCAACCCCGGGCCUGCAGCCGAUACGGGCAGACUAGAGUUCGGCAGGGGAGACUGGAAUUCCUGGUGUAGCGGUGAAAUGCGCAGAUAUCAGGAGGAACACUGGUGGCGAAGGCGGGUCUCUGGGCCGAUACUGACGCUGAGGAGCGAAAGCGUGGGGAGCGAACAGG
rnacentral:rRNA from 1 species